rnacentral:rRNA from 1 species
UACGGAGGGUGCGAGCGUUGUCCGGAAUCAUUGGGCGUAAAGGGCGCGUAGGUGGCCCGGUCAGUUCGUGGUGAAAGCGCGGGCUCAACCCUGCGUCGGCCAUGAAUACUGCCGCGGCUGGAGCACUGUAGAGGCAGGCGGAAUUCCGGGUGUAGCGGUGGAAUGCGUAGAGAGUCCGGAAGAACACCGGUGGCGAAGGGCGGCCUGCUGGGCCAGUUGCUGGACACUGAGGCGCGACAGCGUGGGGAGCAAACAGG